rnacentral:lncRNA from 12 species
GGAAAAUAUAUCAUGCACAUCUCAGUGACUACCAUGAGCAUUGUAUUCAAAAUGUACAUUGAAAAAGACAGAGACCAGGGACAAGAAGAUUCUCAUGCAUUAUCUUGAUUUUGAC